rnacentral:rRNA from 1 species
UACGUAGGGUGCGAGCGUUGUCCGGAAUUAUUGGGCGUAAAGGGCUCGUAGGCGGUUUGUCGCGUCGGGAGUGAAAACACCGGGCUUAACUCGGUGCUUGCUUUCGAUACGGGCAGACUAGAGGUAUGCAGGGGAGAACGGAAUUCCUGUGUAGCGGUGAAAUGCGCAGAUAUCAGGAGGAACACCGGUGGCGAAGGCGGUCUCUGGGCAUUACCUGACGCUGAGGAGCGAAAGUGUGGGGAGCGAACAGG